CACGUAGGGCGCAAGCGUUGUCCGGAAUUAUUGGGCGUAAAGAGCUCGUAAGCGGUCUGUUGCGUCCGCUGUGAAAACUCGGGGCUUAACCCCGAGCCUGCAGUGGAUACGGGCAGACUAGAGGUAGGUAGGGGAGAAUGGAAUUCCCGGUGUAGCGGUGAAAUGCGCAGAUAUCGGGAGGAACACCGGUGGCGAAGGCGGUUCUCUGGGCCUUACCUGACGCUGAGGAGCGAAAGCGUGGGGAGCGAACAGG
rnacentral:rRNA from 1 species